AGAGUUUGAUCCUGGCUCAGGACGAACGCUGGCGGCGCGCCUAACACAUGCAAGUCGAACGAGAGAUGAGGAGCUUGCUCUUCAAAUCGAGUGGCGAACGGGUGAGUAACGCGUGAGGAACCUGCCUCAAAGAGGGGGACAACAGUUGGAAACGACUGCUAAUACCGCAUAAGCCCACGGCUCGGCAUCGAGCAGGGGGAAAAGGAGCAAUCCGCUUUGAGAUGGCCUCGCGUCCGAUUAGCUAGUUGGUGAGGUAACGGCCCACCAAGGCGACGAUCGGUAGCCGGACUGAGAGGUUGAACGGCCACAUUGGGACUGAGACACGGCCCAGACUCCUACGGGAGGCAGCAGUGGGGAAUAUUGCACAAUGGGGGAAACCCUGAUGCAGCGACGCCGCGUGGAGGAAGAAGGUCUUCGGAUUGUAAACUCCUGUUGUUGAGGAAGAUAAUGACGGUACUCAACAAGGAAGUGACGGCUAACUACGUGCCAGCAGCCGCGGUAAAACGUAGGUCACAAGCGUUGUCCGGAAUUACUGGGUGUAAAGGGAGCGCAGGCGGGAAGACAAGUUGGAAGUGAAAUCUAUGGGCUCAACCCAUAAACUGCUUUCAAAACUGUUUUUCUUGAGUAGUGCAGAGGUAGGCGGAAUUCCCGGUGUAGCGGUGGAAUGCGUAGAUAUCGGGAGGAACACCAGUGGCGAAGGCGGCCUACUGGGCACCAACUGACGCUGAGGCUCGAAAGUGUGGGUAGCAAACAGGAUUAGAUACCCUGGUAGUCCACACCGUAAACGAUGAUUACUAGGUGUUGGAGGAUUGACCCCUUCAGUGCCGCAGUUAACACAAUAAGUAAUCCACCUGGGGAGUACGACCGCAAGGUUGAAACUCAAAGGAAUUGACGGGGGCCCGCACAAGCAGUGGAGUAUGUGGUUUAAUUCGACGCAACGCGAAGAACCUUACCAAGUCUUGACAUCCCUUGACGAACAUAGAAAUAUGUUUUCUCUUCGGAGCAAGGAGAC
rnacentral:rRNA from 1 species